rnacentral:misc_RNA from 1 species
AACUUUUGGCAAUGGAUCACUUGGCUCUCGCAUCGAUGAAGAACGCAGCGAAAUGCGAUCAGUAAUGUGAAUUGCAGCAUUCAGUGAAUCAUCGAAUCUUUGAACGCACCUUGCACCCUUUGGUAUCCCCAAAGGCUAUGCUCGUUUGAGUGCCAUUGUAGUCUCACACUUCUGGUCUUUGACUGGGAGCGGUGGACUUGGGUGCUGCUGCUUUACCGCGGCUCACCUCAAAUGCAUUAGUGCAUCUCCAGAUUGGACAUAGUACAGCGUGAUAAGUAUCUUCGCUGGCACCUGCUUCAGGGUGGCUGAUCCAGAGCUCUGUGCUUCAAACCGUCUUCGGACAAUGACUGACAACUUGGCCUCAAAUCGAGUAGGACUACCCGCUGAACUUAAGCAUAUCAAUAAGCGGAGGCU